rnacentral:rRNA from 1 species
UACGAAGGGGGCUAGCGUUGUUCGGAUUUACUGGGCGUAAAGCGCACGUAGGCGGAUUGUUAAGUCGGGGGUGAAAUCCUGGAGCUCAACUUCAGAAUUGCCUUCGAUACUGGCUUUCUAGAGGCUGGAAGAGGUUAGUGGAAUUCCCAGUGUAGAGGUGAAAUUCGUAGAUAUUGGGGAAGAACACCAGUGGCGAAGGCGGUUCUCUGGGACGGUACUGACGCUGAGACGCGAAAGCGUGGGGAGCGAACAGG